GCAGAAGCUAAAAUAUCAGAAACGGCACCAACGGAAUCGAGAGCCGCAGUGGCCUCCAACCCUCUGACAGAGUGUGCCCAAAAUAUCCGUUUAAUACAUGCUAGGGCCAAAAGUCAACAAAUCCAGCCAGCUACAAUAGGAGAAGGAAGAUCAUAAUGAGAAAGUCACUAAAACAAGAUGGAUGUAUCGACCACACAAAGGCAAGGUUAAUCAGGAAAAUAGGGACAGAAAGAUGCGGAGGAAUGAGAUUAGUAUAUAAAAAAAAUGGAGAAAGAAACAUGCUCCAGAGAGAAAGAGAAUGCAUGGACAUCAAAAUCUUGGAUUUACAAGACCAGGUGGAAAAAUACGACAUACAAGAGAAACACAAUGAGAAGCUUUGCUUCAUCGAAGAAAGAUGCUUUAAUCCAUAUGGAUAGGGAGGAAAAAAUAUAACAUCACCUUUUUUUCUUGUAAAUCAUAAAACAGCUUGAACGGCAAUGCUCAGAUCUCGCAAGAGUGAACUCUAUCCCCACAGGGGCUAGAGUUCACUCUCCACUGGACCACCAGGGAUGGCAGCAGGAACAAGA